CUAUAUUUAACAGAACCUGAGAAAUGGUCACCAAAUGCAAUGUACCAAGCCACAAGAAUAUUUGCUUCAAAUUUGGGUGUCAAGAAGGCAGAGCGCUUCUACAAGUUUGUCUUGCUACCACGAGUUAGAGAUGAUAUUCUCAAGAAUAAGAGAUUGCAUUUUGCCCUGUAUCAAUCUCUGAAGAAAUCUCUUUAUAAGCCUGCUGCGGUUAGAGAUGAUAUUCGCAAGAAUAAGAGAUUGCAUUUUGCUCUGUAUCAAUCUCUGAAGAAAUCUCUUUAUAAGCCUGCUGCCUUCAAUAAGGGAAUCUUGUUUCCUUUAUGUGAGGUAUAUAACCACUGUGAAAGAAUUCUUUCAACUGAUUGGAGAAUUGCAACUAUAUCCAAACUUCUCAAUUUCUUCUGUAGAAAAUAACAUUGUUUUGAUUAGCUAUAUUCUCUAGAUUGUCUGUUGAUUGUUUAAGUGAUGUGCAUUGAAGAGGGUAGUGGGUUUUCCGUUUAUCUACUUCUCUACUUUACUGAUACUUUAUUACUGUUCUGAAAAACUUCGUGAUAUCUGACGAUACAUGCGUGCUGAGAGUUUUGUUGUUUACCGGGAGUUACUCUAGAAUUUGAC
rnacentral:lncRNA from 1 species